GACAGAGAGAGAGAGAGAGAGAGAGAGAAAGAGGGAGAGAGAUGACCUGAUUUGAAAUAAAUGGAAUUCCUCUUUUUUUUUUUCCUUUCCUUUCCUCUAUUAC